GUGACCUCAAAUCAGGUAGGACUACCCGCUGAACUUAAGCAUAUCAAUAAGCGGAGGAAAGAAACUAACAAGGAUUCCCCUAGUAACUGCGAGUGAAGCGGGAAAAGCUCAAUUUA
rnacentral:rRNA from 1 species